GGCCAUAUAAGCAUGGUGUAGUGGUUUGAGUGCUGGACUGCAACUCUGGUGACCAGGGUUCAAUUCCCAGCUUGGCCA
rnacentral:tRNA from 1 species